rnacentral:rRNA from 1 species
UACGUAGGGCGCAAGCGUUGUCCGGAAUUAUUGGGCGUAAAGAGCUCGUAGGCGGCUUGUCACGUCGGUUGUGAAAGCCCGGGGCUUAACCCCGGGUCUGCAGUCGAUACGGGCAGGCUAGAGUGUGGUAGGGGAGAUCGGAAUUCCUGGUGUAGCGGUGAAAUGCGCAGAUAUCAGGAGGAACACCGGUGGCGAAGGCGGGUCUCUGGGCCGUAACUGACGCUGAGGAGCGAAAGCGUGGGGGAGCGAACAGG